AUUGAACGCUGGCGGCAGGCCUAACACAUGCAAGUCGAGCGGGGGAGGUUGCUUCGGUAACUGACCUAGCGGCGGACGGGUGAGUAAUGCUUAGGAAUCUGCCUAUUAGUGGGGGACAACAUUCCGAAAGGGAUGCUAAUACCGCAUACGCCCUACGGGGGAAAGAAGGGGAUCUUCGGACCUUGCGCUAAUAGCUGAGCUUACGUCGGAUUAGCUAGUUGGUGGGGUAAAGGCCUACCAAGGCGACGAUCUGUAGCGGGUCUGAGAGGAUGAUCCGCCACACUGGGACUGAGACACGGCCCAGACUCCAACGGGAGGCAGCGGUGGGGAAUAUUGGACAAUGGGCGGAAGCCUGAUCCAGCCAUGCCGCGUGUGUGAAGAAGGCCUUUUGGUUGUAAAGCACUUUAAGCGAGGAGGAGGCUCUUAAGGUUAAUACCCUUGAUGAGUGGACGUUACUCGCAGAAUAAGCACCGGCUAACUCUGUGCCAGCCGCCGCGGUAACAC
rnacentral:rRNA from 1 species